rnacentral:rRNA from 1 species
UACGUAGGGCGCAAGCGUUGUCCGGAAUUAUUGGGCGUAAAGAGCUCGUAGGCGGUCUGUCGCGUCGGAUGUGAAAGCCCGGGGCUUAACCCCGGGUCUGCAUUCGAUACGGGCAGACUAGAGUGUGGUAGGGGAGAUCGGAAUUCCUGGUGUAGCGGUGAAAUGCGCAGAUAUCGGGAGGAACACCGGUGGCGAAGGCGGUUCUCUGGGCCUGACCUGACGCUGAGGAGCGAAAGCGUGGGGAGCGAACAGG